UUUUCUUUUUCGUUUUCGCUUUUCUGUUUUUUUUUUGCUCUUUCUAAACAAGAAGAAAAUGGAGCGCCGGGUUACAUCCCACCUUUUGACGUAUGGAGGUGGAGGAGAGAGAAUUCAUAACGAUGUCUACGCCUCUUUAUCACGAGCGCUAAGUGGGCUCUGUUGUGGCCGUACGCCUCUCUCUCUCUCUCUCUCUUCUUCAUCGGCUCUUCUCCAGCUCUUUUGUCUCGAACACGUUUCCCGUUGUCCGGAUAUUUCAGAAACGGACCGUCAGAAGAGUUCGAAGGAUCGCGCGCCAGAACAUUUUUGUCUAUGACAGAAACGGCCGGUGUGGGUCUCAACGAUCUAAUCAAUUAUGGUUGCGCGAGCGCGUGCGUGUCGGUGGCUAAAGAAACGUUACAGCGUGAGAGAGCCGUGGAGAAGGAAAAAAAAAAGGAAAAGAAAAAAAGAAAAACAAGAACGAAAAGAAGAAGAAACUUGAAACGUCGAUGAGAAAAAGCGAUUGGGGCGCUCGAUUUCUCUGGAAACUGCUGCCGCUUAUUAUGAACGCUUUAAAGAUUUGUCGUCUUCCCGUUUUCUCAUUGCCCGUGCGUCUUCAUCGGAGUGACAAUGCCUCCGGCUCACAUAAUAAGCCUUCCCUACUUCUUAUUCUUGUCUUUUUUUUUUUUUUUUUUUUAUCUUGGCCCCUCUUCAUUUCUCUUUUUUUUCUCUCUCUCCUUAUUCCUCCUCAUGCCCGAUUGUUUUUUGUUUUUAUCUCGACAUGACACUCCCAAAGUCACAGACCACUCCAUAGACGGACGACUCUAUCGUUGGCACGCCGUCCGUCGACCAGCUUGUAGAUUGACGCAACUCGACGUCUUCGCUGGGCCGACACGACACGACAAAAGAACAAAGACGACACACAAAUAAUAGACGAAAGAAAAGCUAGGCCACAAAUUAGAUCGACACUCUGUGAGUCUCAGGACGAAAAAGCACAAAUUAAGGGAAAAAACAAACUUACGUGAAUUGUGGUUGGUUGACGCAACUCUUUUUGUUAGACAUCUUAAUAGUUGGGGUUCUAUGGUUCAUAAUAAAACUUGCACGUAUAUAGAAAAAAAAACGACGUUAGUUCAAGUUAAUUACUAAGUGUAUUGUACAAUGAGGACGGAAAUAAAAGAAUCAGAUCAAAUGGUAAUGAGUUGCCGAUCUAAUUGAGGCUUAAAUCGUAGAAGUUUGGCGUAUUCGGUCAGUAAAAA